GAUGAACGCUGGCGGCGUGCCUAAUACAUGCAAGUCGAGCGAACAGACGAGGAGCUUGCUCCUCUGACGUUAGCGGCGCACGGGUGAGUAACACGUGGAUAACCUACCUAUAAGACUGGGAUAACUUCGGGAAACCGGAGCUAAUCCCGGAUAAUAUAUUGAACCGCAUGGUUCAAUAGUGAAAGACGGUUUUGCUGUCUCUUAUCGAUGGAUCCCGGCCGCAUUGGCUAGUUGGUACGGUAACGGCUUACCAAGGCAACGAUGCGUAGCCGACCUGAGAGAGUGAUAGGCCACACUGGAACGUGGACACGGUCCAGGGGCCUGCGGGAGGCAGCAGUAGGGAAUCUUCCGCAAUGGGCGAAAGCUUUACGGAGCAACGCCGCGUGAGUGAUAAAGGUCUUCGGAUCGUAAAACUCGGUUAUUGGGUAAGAACAAAUGUGUAAGUAACUAUGCACGUCGUGACGGUACCUAAUCAGAAAGCCACGGCUAACUACGUG
rnacentral:rRNA from 1 species